rnacentral:rRNA from 1 species
GUAGGGAAUAUUGGGCAAUGGAUGCAAGUCUGACCCAGCCAUCCCGCGUGCCGGAAGAAGGCCCUCAGGGUUGUAAACGGCUUUUGACGGUGAAGAAUCGACAGGAUGCGUCCUGUUUUGACGGUAGCCGUUGAAUAAGCACCGGCUAACUCCGUGCCAGCAGCCGCGGUAAUACGGAGGGUGCGAGCGUUGUCUGGAUUUAUUGGGUUUAAAGGGUGCGUAGGCUGGAAGGUCAGUCAGCGGUGAAAAGCUGUCGCUUAACGAUAGUCUUGCCGCAGAUACUUCCUUUCUUGGAUGAGGAGGAGGCCACUGGAACGGAUGGUGUAGCGGUGAAAUGCAUAGAUAUCAUCCAGAACACCGAUUGCGAAGGCAGGUGGCUGUACCUUAAUCGACGCUGAUGCACGAAAGCAUGGGGAGCAAACAGGAUUAGAAACCCGAGUAGUCC